rnacentral:rRNA from 1 species
ACUCCUACGGGAGGCAGCAGUGGGGAAUAUUGCACAAUGGGGGAAACCCUGAUGCAGCCAUGCCGCGUGUGUGAAGAAGGCCUUCGGGUUGUAAAGCACUUUCAGUAGGGAGGAAGGUAGUGUAGUUAACACCUGCACUAUUUUGACGUUACCUACAGAAGAAGCACCGGCUAACUCCGUGCCAGCAGCCGCGGUAAUACGGAGGGUGCGAGCGUUAAUCGGAAUUACUGGGCGUAAAGCGCAUGCAGGCGGCCUGUUAAGUCAGAUGUGAAAGCCCGGGGCUUAACCUCGGAAUUGCAUUUGAAACUGGUAGGCUAGAGUCUUGUAGAGGGGGGUAGAAUUUCAGGUGUAGCGGUGAAAUGCGUAGAGAUCUGAAGGAAUACCAGUGGCGAGGCGGCCCCCUGGACAAAGACUGACGCUCAGAUGCGAAAGCGUGGGGAGCAAACAGGAUUAGAUACCCUGGUAGCGUAGUCU